rnacentral:rRNA from 1 species
AGAGUUUGAUCCUGGCUCAGAAUGAACGCUGGCGGCGUGCUUAACACAUGCAAGUCGAACGAGAAAGUGGGCUUCGGUCCAUGAGUAGAGUGGCGCACGGGUGAGUAACACGUGGGUAAUCUACCCCUCAAUUUGGGAUAACAUUGCGAAAGUGAUGCUAAUACCGAAUAACAUCCAUAAAGCCUUGGUUUAAUGGAUCAAAGGUGGCCAAUCCUUGGAAGCUACUGUUGGGGGAUGAGCCCGCGUACCAUUAGCUAGUUGGUAGGGUAAUGGCCUACCAAGGCGACGAUGGUUAGCUGGUCUGAGAGGAUGAUCAGCCACACUGGAACUGACACACGGUCCAGACUCCUACGGGAGGCAGCAGUGAGGAAUCUUGCGCAAUGGGGGAAACCCUGACGCAGCAACGCCGCGUGAGUGAAGAAGGCCUUCGGGUUGUAAAGCUCUUUCGGCAGGAACGAAACGGUGGGAUCUAAUACAUUCCACUAAUGACGGUACCUGAAGAAGAAGCACCGGCUAACUACGUGCCAGCAGCCGCGGUAAUACGUAGGGUGCGAGCGUUAAUCGGAAUUACUGGGCGUAAAGCGUGCGCAGGCGGUGACCCAAGUCAGAUGUGAAAUCCCCGGGCUUAACCUGGGAACUGCAUUUGAAACUAGGUCGCUAGAGUAUGGCAGAGGGGGGUAGAAUUCCACGUGUAGCAGUGAAAUGCGUAGAGAUGUGGAGGAAUACCGAUGGCGAAGGCAGCUCUCUGGGUCAAUACUGACGCUCAUGCACGAAAGCGUGGGGAGCAAACAGGAUUAGAUACCCUGGUAGUCC